rnacentral:rRNA from 1 species
GACGAACGCUGGCGGCGUGCCUAAUACAUGCAAGUAGAACGCUGAAGAGAGGAGCUUGCUCUUCUUGGAAGAGUUGCGAACGGGUGAGUAACGCGUAGGUAACCUGCCUUGUAGCGGGGGAUAACUAUUGGAAACGAUAGCUAAUACCGCAUAACAAUGGGUGACCCAUGUCAUUCAUUUGAAAGGGGCAACUGCUCCACUACAAGAUGGACCUGCGUUGUAUUAGCUAGUAGGUGAGGUAACGGCUCACCUAGGCGACGAUACAUAGCCGACCUGAGAGGGUGAUCGGCCACACUGGGACUGAGACACAGCCCAGACUCCUACGGGAGGCAGCAGUAGGGAAUCUUCGGCAAUGGGGGCAACCCUGACCGAGCAACGCCGCGUGAGUGAAGAAGGUUUUCGGAUCGUAAAGCUCUGUUGUAAGUCAAGAACGAGUGUGAGAGUGGAAAGUUCACACUGUGACGGUAGCUUACCAGAAAGGGACGGCUAACUACGUGCCAGCAGCCGCGGUAAUACGUAGGUCCCGAGCGUUGUCCGGAUUUAUUGGGCGUAAAGCGAGCGCAGGCGGUUUGAUAAGUCUGAAGUUAAAGGCUGUGGCUCAACCAUAGUUCGCUUUGGAAACUGUCAAACUUGAGUGCAGAAGGGGAGAGUGGAAUUCCAUGUGUAGCGGUGAAAUGCGUAGAUAUAUGGAGGAACACCGGUGGCGAAAGCGGCUCUCUGGUCUGUAACUGACGCUGAGGCUCGAAAGCGUGGGGAGCGAACAGG